rnacentral:misc_RNA from 1 species
UUGUGGAGGAGGACGCCGAAGGUGGGGCUGAUGACUGGGGUGAAGUCGUAACAAGGUAGCCGUACCGGAAGGUGCGGCUGGAUCACUCCUAACAGGGAGACAAACAAUUGAUCAUGAUGUCUGAGGUUUUUUAUUCUUAGGCCAUGAUCCUGUCACCUUAGGUCGAUCGGUACCUCAGGUUGAAAAUCAUAUGAAUAAUUGAGUAAUCAAUUCGAAUUUGAUAAUCAACAUCAGUUCCUAAACUUGUCUAGGUCACACCCCGCAAGGGUUCUCCUGGGCCAUUAGCUCAGGUGGUUAGAGCGCACCCCUGAUAAGGGUGAGGUCCCUGGUUCAAGUCCAGGAUGGCCCAUUCGGUGUUGGGGGUAUAGCUCAGUUGGUAGAGCGCCUGCUUUGCAAGCAGGAUGUCAGCGGUUCGAGUCCGCUUACCUCCACUGAUCGACCUCCUGAUAACGAGAUCAGAGGAGAUUCUCUUGGCUUAAUGUGAUUUAGACUUUGUUUUAGCUGAUUCUUGAACCUAGCUUCCUAUCAUUCCUAAUUUUUCAGGCUGACAGGACGCUGGGCUCACUGCAAUUUAUUUAAUUGUAGAGAUGUUCAGUAGAACCUUGACAACUGCAUAGGUGAGUUUGGAAAAAAUAAAGCAUCUCAUGGACGCAUUUAUUCUAAUUAAGAAUAAAUGCUUGAUUCUUGAGUAAGAGCCGAGACUCUAUGGUUAAUUUGAUGUUUGAAUUUCAUCGAAUAUCAGAAGAUUAUCAACAGCAAUUUAUUGCUGAUAAUUAAUCAUUAAUCUAUAGAGGUUUAAUUGGUCAAGCUACAA